AAUUCCUGCACCUGAGGCCAGCCCUUGUUGAAUGCAAGCCUUGUAUGCCACUUCAAUCUUGCUUUUAUAUUUUUCCAGUGCUAGCUUCUCCCCGGUAAAGGAUGCAACCUAGCACAGUUAAAAAGGAAUUAACAAUAGACUUCUGCGUAAGCAAUCUGUCCGUGACUAGCCAUUUUUGCCAUCAUUGCCGCCAUUGCUGCUCCAGAAAUGACAAUAGCAGGAAGACAUGAAAGCAGAACCUGUGCGAGAGCCCAUCCUCUCAUAAUGGCGAUUAUGUAUCCGCCGAGGAAAGCUGUGUGUCAAAGAAGGCAAUGUCUUGCCUUAAUAUUGUUUUCAAGUUUAAGCCUCGAAUCCUUGCAGCCCGCCUUUCAUCAGUCACCAUCCAACAUGACACCUCUGCAAUACACAAGUACAAAUCUGAACAAAUCCAUCACCAGUUAGAAACUCAGUUCAAGAGUAAAGAAGAGGGCCUUCUCAACGUACGCAGAAAGCCGGAAAUCCCUGAGCCAACAGCCAGCACUCAUCUGAAGUGGCCCUAAAGGUAGCUGUACUCCUCUUUCCCCUACAUUGGUAACAUAACCUUGUGCCAAUGUAGCUAUAAAAUUGUGUGCAUUUGAUGCCUUUGUUGCUGCAAUGAUCUCAUCUUCUGUAGUUUUACCGUGUUUGCCGUAGGCAAUGUUCUGGUGGAUGGUUUCAGGAGGAGUGCAACUUUCAGGAGGACAUAAGCCUUGUACAUAUAGAGAGGUGAAUUUAUGAAUUAAUGUAAAGCCAAAUAACUGUUUCCCACUAAAUUUUGGUGAAAUGACAUUUCUGCCUUCAAAGUUUCAAAAGUUUAAAUUCUCACCCAUAAUUUAUUUUGGAGUGAAUUUCGUUU